rnacentral:rRNA from 1 species
AGGCAGCAGUAGGGAAUUUUCGUCAAUGGGCGCAAGCCUGAACGAGCGAUGCCGCGUGAGUGAAGAAGGCCUUCGGGUCGUAAAGCUCUGUUGCGGGGGAAAAAAGGCAGCAUCAGGAAAUGGGUGCUGACUGAUGGUGCCCCGCCAGAAAGUCACGGCUAACUACGUCGCC